rnacentral:rRNA from 1 species
GACGGAGGGGGCUAGCGUUGUUCGGAAUUACUGGGCGUAAAGGGCGCGUAGGCGGAUUAGUAAGUUGGGAGUGAAAUCCCGGGGCUUAACCUCGGAACAGCUUUCAAAACUGCUAGUCUAGAGUGUAGUAGGGGAUGAUGGAAUUCCUAGUGUAGAGGUGAAAUUCUUAGAUAUUAGGAGGAACACCGAUGGCGAAGGCAGCCCCCUGGGCUAGCACUGACGCUCAGGCACGGAAGCGUGGGGAGCAAACAGG